rnacentral:rRNA from 14 species
AGUACCUGAAACCGAACGCCUACAAUCAGUCGGAGCUCCCUUGAGGAGUGACGGCGUACCUUUUGUAUAAUGGGUCAUCGACUUGGUCUCACGAGCAAGCUUAAGCCGAUAGGUGUAGGCGCAGCGAAAGCGAGUCUUAAUAGGGCGAAUGAGUUCGUGGGAUCAGACCCGAAACCGAGUGAUCUAGGCAUGUCCAGGAUGAAGGUAAGGUAACACUUACUGGAGGUCCGAACCCACACCUGUUGAAAAAGGUCGGGAUGAGGUGUGCCUAGGGG